AUUGAACGCUGGCGGCAGGCCUAACACAUGCAAGUCGAGCGGAUGAAGGGAGCUUGCUCCUGGAUUCAGCGGCGGACGGGUGAGUAAUGCCUAGGAAUCUGCCUGGUAGUGGGGGAUAACGUCCGGAAACGGGCGCUAAUACCGCAUACGUCCUGAGGGAGAAAGUGGGGGAUCUUCGGACCUCACGCUAUCAGAUGAGCCUAGGUCGGAUUAGCUAGUUGGUGGGGUAAAGGCCUACCAAGGCGACGAUCCGUAACUGGUCUGAGAGGAUGAUCAGUCACACUGGAACUGAGACACGGUCCAGACUCCUACGGGGGGCAGCAGUGGGGAAUAUUGGACAAUGGGCGAAAGCCUGAUCCAGCCAUGCCGCGUGUGUGAAGAAGGUCUUCGGAUUGUAAAGCACUUUAAGUUGGGAGGAAGGGCAGUAAGUUAAUACCUUGCUGUUUGGACGUUACCAGCAGAAUAAGCACCGGCUAACUUCGG
rnacentral:rRNA from 1 species